rnacentral:lncRNA from 10 species
AAAAAAAAAAAAAAAAAAAAAAAAAAAAAAAAAAAAAGAUAGGUUUUGUCAAAGAGUGCUGGAGCCCAGAGGACUCAAGACACUGUUAAUUCACUCUCUCCUUUCCUUUAGCAAAAGAGGCCCUAAACAAUUGAAGGUCCAUGCCCCACUGUCUCUCCAACCCCACAUUCCCCCUUCUGAGAACAGACACAGCCCGUACCACAGUCCCUUAUAUGCCUCUGCCUCUGUUGGCCACUCUGGGACAGGAACCAGAGUUAGAACUUGGAGUCUGGGCUGAGUCAACACUGUCUGUGGGAGAGAUGGCUUCCUGGGAAGUCUGGCUUCAAAGCUUCUGACUGGCCAAGCACGAGGUACCAUGGAGGCUGGGGGUGGCUUUGACUUUCAAAGUACCUCUCACUAGAGACACAAUCAUGGGAUAGAAGUUUCCAUAGUCUAGGCCAGGCGUGGUGGCUCACCUGGAUUUCACCCGC